rfam:Ricinus communis ctg_1100012355480, whole genome shotgun sequence.
GGGCCUGUAGCUCAGAGGAUUAGAGCACGUGGCUACGAACCACAAUGUCAGGGGGUUCAAAUCCCUCCUUGCCCA